rnacentral:rRNA from 1 species
AAUGAACGCUGGCGGCAUGCCUAACACAUGCAAGUCGAACGAAGGCUUCGGCCUUAGUGGCGCACGGGUGCGUAACGCGUGGGAAUCUGCCCUUGGGUUCGGAAUAACAGUGAGAAAUUACUGCUAAUACCGGAUGAUGUCGAAAGACUAAAGAUAUAUCGCCCGAGGAUGAGCCCGCGUAGGAUUAGCUAGUUGGUGAG